GAUGAACGCUAGCUACAGGCUUAACACAUGCAAGUCGAGGGGCAGCAUUUCAGUUUGCUUGCAAACUGGAGAUGGCGACCGGCGCACGGGUGAGUAACACGUAUCCAACCUGCCGAUAACUCGGGGAUAGCCUUUCGAAAGAAAGAUUAAUACCCGAUGGCAUAAUUAGACCGCAUGGUCUUAUUAUUAAAGAAUUUCGGUUAUCGAUGGGGAUGCGUUCCAUUAGGCAGUUGGUGAGGUAACGGCUCACCAAACCUUCGAUGGAUAGGGGUUCUGAGAGGAAGGUCCCCCACAUUGGAACUGAGACACGGUCCAAACUCCUACGGGAGGCAGCAGUGAGGAAUAUUGGUCAAUGGGCGCAGGCCUGAACCAGCCAAGUAGCGUGAAGGAUGACUGCCCUAUGGGUUGUAAACUUCUUUUAUAUGGGAAUAAAGUUUUCCACGUGUGGAAUUUUGUAUGUACCAUAUGAAUAAGGAUCGGCUAACUCCGUGCCAGCAGCCGCGGUAAUACGGAGGAUCCGAGCGUUAUCCGGAUUUAUUGGGUUUAAAGGGAGCGUAGGUGGACAGUUAAGUCAGUUGUGAAAGUUUGCGGCUCAACCGUAAAAUUGCAGUUGAUACUGGCUGUCUUGAGUACAGUAGAGGUGGGCGGAAUUCGUGGUGUAGCGGUGAAAUGCUUAGAAAUCACGAAGAACUCCGAUUGCGAAGGCAGCUCACUGGACUGCAACUGACACUGAUGCUCGAAAGUGUGGGUAUCAAACAGGAUUAGAUACCCUGGUGGUCCACACAGUAAACGAUGAAUACUCGCUGUUUGCGAUAUACAGUAAGCGGCCAAGCGAAAGCAUUAAGUAUUCCACCUGGGGAGUACGCCGGCAACGGUGAAACUCAAAGGAAUUGACGGGGGCCCGCACAAGCGGAGGAACAUGUGGUUUAAUUCGAUGAUACGCGAGGAACCUUACCCGGGCUUAAAUUGCAUUUGAAUAUAUUGGAAACAGUAUAGCCGUAAGGCAAAUGUGAAGGUGCUGCAUGGUUGUCGUCAGCUCGUGCCGUGAGGUGUCGGCUUAAGUGCCAUAACGAGCGCAACCCUUAUCUUUAGUUACUAACAGGUCAUGCUGAGGACUCUAGAGAGACUGCCGUCGUAAGAUGUGAGGAAGGUGGGGAUGACGUCAAAUCAGCACGGCCCUUACGUCCGGGGCUACACACGUGUUACAAUGGGGGGUACAGAAGGCAGCUACCUGGUGACAGGAUGCUAAUCCCAAAAGCCUCUCUCAGUUCGGAUCGAAGUCUGCAACCCGACUUCGUGAAGCUGGAUUCGCUAGUAAUCGCGCAUCAGCCAUGGCGCGGUGAAUACGUUCCCGGGCCU
rnacentral:rRNA from 1 species